UACAUAUCCCCGGGGAGCCAUGUGGCUGAGAGGUGGGCCUAACGCCCCACGACCCGCUGAACCUGAACCCGUUAAUCCGGGCGUAGGGAGGGAAGCGUCUGUCGGC
rnacentral:ncRNA from 2 species